GAUGAACGCUGGCGGCGUGCUUAACACAUGCAGGUCGAACGGUGAAGGCGGAGCUUGCUCUGCUGGAUCAGUGGCGAACGGGUGAGUAACACGUGAGCAAUCUGCCCCUGACUCUGGGAUAAGCGCUGGAAACGGCGUCUAAUACUGGAUACGAGCUGCGAAGGCAUCUUCAGCAGCUGGAAAGAAUUUCGGUCAGGGAUGAGCUCGCGGCCUAUCAGCUUGUCGGUGAGGUAAUGGCUCACCAAGGCGUCGACGGGUAGCCGGCCUGAGAGGGUGACCGGCCACACUGGGACUGAGACACGGCCCAGACUCCUACGGGAGGCAGCAGUGGGGAAUAUUGCACAAUGGGCGAAAGCCUGAUGCAGCAACGCCGCGUGAGGGACGACGGCCCUCGGGUUGUAAACCUCUUUUAGCAGGGAAGAAGCGAAAGUGACGGUACCUGCAGAAAAAGCGCCGGCUAACUACGUG
rnacentral:rRNA from 1 species